GUACCGUCCGGCUGCGAUCGAUGCAGUGUGGCUCCCAUGUCCUGAGCUGUCUCUCGGAGAUUUGAAUUUGAUUGUCUUAUCAUCUGCUUUUGUGCGGUCAUCGCCGCUCUUCUCUUCUGCUUCGUAUCCGCCAAGUGAAGUUGAAGGAUGGAUCUUCUUCUCCUUGGCACAGCCCUUUCCAUCUCGGAGGCACCGGAGGCAUCCCAUCAUCACUGAAACUUGGUGAUUCUGGCCAUAUUCCUGCCAAACUAAGCAGCAGUUAGUAAACAAAUCUUAGACUGAGUAUGUUAUAAAGUUGAGUUGAUGUUCUUGCUGAGAAAGUGCCAUAAAACGUGUAUGAUUAGUAAGGAAUAGAAGUUUCAGUGUCAAAUUAAACCAUCAGUUUGGUAAACAAGUCAGGGAAAAGCCAAAACAUAUAUCCUGAAAGUGCUGCAGAAUAUUUGGAGAAUUUUGUAGCAGAGUGAAAAGACUAGGAAAACUGCCUUGUAGAUUAAGACCAGAAUAUUUGGGCAAAUAUUUUAGGUAAUUAAUCCAAAAAGCUUAGAAAGAUUUGAUUUUA